CCUACGGGUGGCAGCAGUGGGGAAUAUUGCACAAUGGGCGCAAGCCUGAUGCAGCGACGCCGCGUGAGCGAAGAAGUAUUUCGGUAUGUAAAGCUCUAUCAGCAGGGAAGAAAAUGACGGUACCUGACUAAGAAGCUCCGGCUAAAUACGUGCCAGCAGCCGCGGUAAUACGUAUGGAGCAAGCGUUAUCCGGAAUUACUGGGUGUAAAGGGAGCGUAGACGGAUGUGCAAGCCAGGAGUGAAAGCCCGGGGCCCAACCCCGGGACUGCUCUUGGAACUGCGUGGCUGGAGUGCAGGAGGGGCAGGCGGAAUUCCUGGUGUAGCGGUGAAAUACGUAGAUAUCAGGAGGAACACCGGUGGCGAAGGCGGCCUGCUGGACUGCAACUGACGUUGAGGCCCGAAAGCGUGGGGAGCAAACAGGAUUAGAUACCCGUGUAGUC
rnacentral:rRNA from 1 species